AGUGAACGCUGGCGGUAGGCCUAACACAUGCAAGUCGAACGGCAGCACAGUAAGAGCUUGCUCUUACGGGUGGCGAGUGGCGGACGGGUGAGGAAUACAUCGGAAUCUACUUUUUCGUGGGGGAUAACGUAGGGAAACUUACGCUAAUACCGCAUACGACCUACGGGUGAAAGCAGUGGAUCUUCGGACCUUGCGCGAUUGAAUGAGCCGAUGUCGGAUUAGCUAGUUGGCGGGGUAAAGGCCCACCAAGGCGACGAUCCGUAGCCGGUCUGAGAGGAUGAUCAGCCACACUGGAACUGAGACACGGUCCAGACUCCUACGGGAGGCAGCAGUGGGGAAUAUUGGACAAUGGGCGCAAGCCUGAUCCAGCCAUACCGCGUGGGUGAAGAAGGCCUUCGGGUUGUAAAGCCCUUUUGUUGGGAAAGAAAAGCAGCAGGUUAAUACCCCGCUGUUCUGACGGUACCCAAAGAAUAAGCACCGGCUAACUUCGUG
rnacentral:rRNA from 1 species